GACGAACGCUGGCGGCGUGCCUAAUACAUGCAAGUAGAACGCUGAAGCGAGGAGCUUACUCUUCUUGGAUGAGUUGCGAACGGGUGAGUAACGCGUAGGUAACCUGCCUUGUAGCGGGGGAUAACUAUUGGAAACGAUAGCUAAUACCGCAUAACAAUGGAUGACACAUGUCAUUUAUUUGAAAGGGGCAAUUGCUCCACUACAAGAUGGACCUGCGUUGUAUUAGCUAGUAGGUGAGGUAAUGGCUCACCUAGGCGACGAUACAUAGCCGACCUGAGAGGGUGAUCGGCCACACUGGGACUGAGACACGGCCCAGACUCCUACGGGAGGCAGCAGUAGGGAAUCUUCGGCAAUGGGGGCAACCCUGACCGAGCAACGCCGCGUGAGUGAAGAAGGUUUUCGGAUCGUAAAGCUCGGUUGUAAGUCAAGAACGGGUGUGAGAGUGGAGAGUUCACACUGUGACGGUAGCUUACCAGAAAGGGACGGCUAACUACGUG
rnacentral:rRNA from 1 species